rnacentral:tRNA from 1 species
CGGGGUGUAGCGCAGUUGGUAGCGCGCAUGCAUGGGGUGCAUGAGGUCGGGAGUUCGAGUCUCCCCACUCCGA